AAUUAAUAACUGUUCAUUACUGAAUUGCUAUCUAGUUAUCGUGCAAUAAAAGUAGAAGAGUCGUCUACUAAUGUAUUAUGUUUUUUUACUUUUUUUCUCGAGAAACAGUAUAUGCCUUCUCUUUGGCAGGGCACAUAAAAGAUGUUCUGAAUAUUUCAGAUUACUGGAGAUGCUAUUUAUACAAGUCAGAUUUUUGUUAGAAACCAUUGGGACUUUUUGCAUUCCAAACAUCGUAAAUCCAGCAGACUUGGAAUACUGCCAGUUGAAAGUGAAAUUUUAAUAAUUUUUUAAGAAUGUAGUUAUUCUGAAUUAUGAUAGGAAAUUAAAUUUUAUAAUUAUUAAUAAAUAUACUAAAAUAGCAAAUUCUCAGAGUAAUGUAUAACUCUUAG
rnacentral:lncRNA from 1 species